GCAGUCGACGCCCCGCAGGGGAGUGGCAGACGGGUGAGUAACGCGUGGGAAUCUACCUAGUUCUACGGAACAACUGAGGGAAACUUCAGCUAAUACCGUAUACGCCCUACGGGGGAAAGAUUUAUCGGAAUUAGAUGAGCCCGCGUAAGAUUAGCUAGUUGGUGGGGUAAUGGCCUACCAAGGCGACGAUCUUUAGCUGGUCUGAGAGGAUGAUCAGCCACACUGGGACUGAGACACGGCCCAGACUCCUACGGGAGGCAGCAGUGGGGAAUAUUGGACAAUGGGCGCAAGCCUGAUCCAGCCAUGCCGCGUGAGUGAUGAAGGCCUUAGGGUUGUAAAGCUCUUUCAGUGGGGACGAUAAUGACGGUACCCACAGAAGAAGCCCCGGCUAACUUCGUGCCAGCAGCCGCGGUAAUACGAAGGGGGCUAGCGUUGUUCGGAUUUACUGGGCGUAAAGCGCACGUAGGCGGAUCGUUAAGUCGGGGGUGAAAUCCUGGAGCUCAACUCCAGAACUGCCUUCGAUACUGGCGAUCUUGAGUCCGGAAGAUGUGAGUGGAACUCCU
rnacentral:rRNA from 1 species